CUUAGGACAGACACUUCGGGCCACAAAUGCUUCGGAGGGUCUACAGGGAGAAGGGAGGAAAGAGAAUUCGCUCAGUCACAAGUAAACUCUUAAUAGAACCUUAUCACUCACCCAGGGGAACUGAGAGCGGUAGGCCAGGGCUCUGGGAUGACCAUCGAUGAUUAAUUGUCUGUUAAGGCGCAAGCAGGGAAAAAACAAACAACACUGCCCGGGACGCCGAGAGCUAAGACCCACCGUCUCGCCGGCCAGCGAGCCGGUUGGCGGCGGGGUUACCCCGGGCUGGGGCGCCGGGACGGGGGUUUAAGGGGAGGGAGGCGCGCUCCACGCUCGGGGGCGGGUCCCGGCGGCCGCUCUCUCCGCCCCCGCAGUCGCCGCCACCUCCAGCCUGCGCCCCAGCGCAGCGGCUCAGACGCGGUCGCAUCCUCGUGGACGGUAGAGGCGGCAGCGAGCUAGAGUCAGCGUCGCAGCUCGCGGCCGCGGAGAGGCCAGGCGAGCCCGAGCGCCGGGACCCGGCCCAGGCUCGGCGGACACCUCUUUGCGCGGCUGCCUUUCCCAAGCUCUCAUCCUGAAGUUCUACUCCAGCGGUGUGGUGUAAUGUAAAGAAGUUGGGCUUUGGAGUCAGUCAGACCAGCGUUUGGAUUCUUACUAUCUUAAGAGGUUAGUAACGUUUUCUAAACCUUGGUUUCUUCAUAAAAUGCAGGUGAUUCAGAGCAUUAUGUUGAAAUAAGGUCAUGUGCAUGAAAAGUGUGUGGUACAGGGUA
rnacentral:lncRNA from 1 species